rnacentral:rRNA from 1 species
ACACCAGCACCUCAAGUGGUCAGGAUGAUUAUUGGGCCUAAAGCAUCCGUAGCCUGCUCUGUAAGUUUUCGGUUAAAUCUGUAUGCUCAACAUACAGGCUGCCGGGAAUACUGCAGAGCUAGGGAGUGGGAGAGGUAGACGGUACUCGGGAGGAAGUGGUAAAAUGCUUUGAUCUCUCGAUGACCACCUGUGGCGAAGGCGGUCUACCAGAACACGUCCGACGGUGAGGGAUGAAAGCUGGGGGAGCAAACCGGAUUAGAAACCCCGGUAGUCC